rnacentral:rRNA from 1 species
GUGAGGUGGAGCAAAACUCAAAAACUUGUCUCAGUUCGGAUUGUAGGCUGAAACUCGCCUACAUGAAGCUGGAGUUGCUAGUAAUCGCGAAUCAGCAUGUCGCGGUGAAUACGUUCCCGGGCCUUGUACACACCGCCCGUCACACCAUGAGAGUUGGCAAUACCCAACGUACGUGAUCUAACCCGCAAGGGAGGAAGCGUCCUAAGGUAGGGUCAGCGAUUGGGGUGAAGUCGUAACAAGGUAUC